rnacentral:rRNA from 1 species
UACGUAGGGGGCAAGCGUUGUCCGGAUUUAUUGGGCGUAAAGAGCGUGUAGGCGGCCAUGCAGGUCCGUUGUGAAAACUCGAGGCUCAACCUCGAGACGCCGGUGGAAACCGUGUGGCUAGAGUCCGGAAGAGGAGAGUGGAAUUCCUGGUGUAGCGGUGAAAUGCGCAGAUAUCAGGAAGAACACCCGUGGCGAAGGCGGCUCUCUGGGACGUGACUGACGCUGGGACGCGAAAGCGUGGGGAGCAAACAGG